rnacentral:tRNA from 2 species
CGGAGUGUAGCGCAGAGGUAGCGCGUCUGCUUUGGGAGCAGAAUGUCGGGAGUUCGAUCCUCCCCACUCCGACCA